AUGGUCUCUGAGAUCAUGGACCUCGUGGCCAGGAACAUGCAUCAGCACUGGUUCCUCCUCUUUCUGGUGGCAGCUCCCAGAUGUGUCCUGUCGCAGAUACAGCUGCAGGAGUUGGGACCAACCCUGGUGACGCCCUCGCAGACGCUGUCCCUCAUCUGCUCCGUCUCUGGAUUCUCUCUAACCAGCUAUAGUGUGUACUGGGUCCGCCAGGCCCCUGGAAGGGGUCUGGAUUGGAUUGGUACUAUAUGUAAUGGUGGAAGCACAGACUAUAACCCAAGUCUUAAGUCCCGACUCAGCAUCACCAGGGACACCUCCAAGAACCAAGUUUACCUAAAACUGAGCAACUCGGUAACUGAGGACACAGCCGUGUAUUAUUGUGAUGGACCCAGUGACCUCUACCAGCCCCUUCUCAGGUUGGACCAGGUCGUCAGCUAUGAAUUCUACCUCCUCAUGAACAUGCAAAUUAGAUGA